rnacentral:rRNA from 1 species
UUCCCGAAUUAAGAAGAGCUAAUUAUUUUAUUGUAAUAAAUAUUUUUAAUAUGUAAUGAAAUGUUAAUAUAUCUGGUUUUCCAAGAAAAUUUAAUUUUUUCAUAUUUUAGGGGAUAAGCUUUAAAUAGGAUUAAAAUUUUUGUUAUAAUUUAUCUAUUGGAAUGUAAUUUUUAAUUAAUUUAGUAAUAAUGUUAAAAUUAGUAUAAGGUAAGAAAAAGGAACUUGACAAAUAUUUUUCACCUGUUUAUUAAAAACAUGUCUUUUUGAUAAUAAUUUAAGGUCUAACCUGCCCACUGAGGCCGCGGUAUUUUGACCGUGCAAAGGUAGCAUAAUCAUUAGUUUUUUAAUUGAGAGCUGGAAUGAAUGGUUGGAUGAGAAAAUAAUUGUCUCUUUUUUAUAGAAUUUUAUUAUUAAGUAAAAAGGCUUAAAUAAAGUUAAAAGACGAGAAGACCCUAUAGAGUUUUAUUUUGAUUGGGGUGAUUGAAAAAUUUAUUUAACUUUUGAUUAUAAGAUUAAAUUACCUUAGGGAUAACAGCGUAAUUUUUCUUAGAGUUCUAAUCGUGAGAAGAGUUUGCGACCUCGAUGUUGGAUUAAGGUUAAUUUAGGUGCAGAAGCU